rnacentral:misc_RNA from 1 species
GCGCCAUUUAAAUGUACGUGGCAAAAGUGCCACCUUGCCAUCCAUAACAGAGAAAGAUUGGGAAGAUAUUAAGUUUGGAGUGGACAACAAGAUUGACUUCUAUGCAGUUUCAUUUGUGAAAGAUGCACAAGUGGUCCAUGAGUUGAAAGAUUAUCUCAAAAGUUGCAAUGCAGAUAUACAUGUGAUUGUUAAGAUUGAAAGUGCCG